CUGCACAUCAGAUGUGCUGCAGCUUUUGCAGGUGUGGAAGAAGGACCAUUUCUGUCUUGAUAUUCAAGUUGGAUGUCUAUCCCUCCUAUAAUUCUCUAUCACCUUUUCUGUGCCUCUCAUGAACUCACAGCACUCUGCAUAGAGGAAGCUCUCUGCUCUCUACUUGAUGAGUAAACAACAUCUCAUUAGAUAGACACGGAAAGUGGUGGCCCAAUUUUGAAGGGAGGAUCUGAUGAACUCUUGAGCAGAGGACAGCAGCACUCAGCAGACUGUGGGGUCGGAGAUCCCCUGAUUCCAUUUUGGAAAAGCACCCCAGCCAAGCAGUUGAGAAGUCGUUACCAUGGACAAGGACGUCAUGUCGGGCUCUGCACAGCCUCAAGCAGGGGACCAAGGCAAAAGAGAGCGCGAAAUCGAAGCUGUGAUCCCUGGUCAAAGACUGGCCUGGAGAGCUGGGAAUUUCCUGAAUAGGCCUGAAAGCUGUGUGUACCUCUGACUUCAUGGUGUUUGCUUGCCUGUGAC
rnacentral:lncRNA from 1 species